rnacentral:rRNA from 1 species
CUUCGGGUCGUAAAACUCUGUCCUCAAGGAUGAUAAUGACGGUACUUGAGGAGGAAGCCCCGGCUAACUACGUGCCAGCAGCCGCGGUAAUACGGAGGGGGCUAGCGUUAUCCGGAUUUACUGGGCGUAAAGGGUGCGUAGGCGGUCUUUCAAGUCAGGAGUGAAAGGCUACGGCUCAACCGUAGUAAGCUCUUGAAACUGGGAGACUUGAGUGCAGGAGAGGAGAGUGGAAUUCCUAGUGUAGCGGUGAAAUGCGUAGAUAUUAGGAGGAACACCAGUUGCGAAGGCGGCUCUCUGGACUGUAACUGACGCUGAGGCACGAAAGCGUGGGGAGCAAACAGGAUUAGAUACCCUGGUAGUCCACGCUGUAAACGAUGAGUACUAGGUGUCGGGGGUUACCCCC